AGAGUUUGAUCAUGGCUCAAAAUGAACGCUGGCGGCAGGCCUAACACAUGCAAGUCGAGCGAGGUAGCAAUACCUAGCGGCGGACGGGUGAGUAACGCGUGGGAACGUACCCUUUGCUUCGGAAUAGCCCCUGGAGACGGGGAGUAAUACCGGAUGAGCCCUACGGGGGAAAGAUUUAUCGGCAAAGGAUCGGCCCGCGUUGGAUUAGGUAGUUGCUGGGGUAAUGGCCUACCAAGCCGACGAUCCAUAGCUGGUUUGAGAGGAUGAUCAGCCACACUGGGACUGAGACACGGCCCAGACUCCUACGGGAGGCAGCAGUGGGGAAUCUUAGACAAUGGGCGCAAGCCUGAUCUAGCCAUGCCGCGUGAUCGAUGAAGGCCUUAGGGUUGUAAAGAUCUUUCGUGGGGGAAGAUAAUGACGGUACCCCAAGAAGAAGCCCCGGCUAACUCCGUGCCAGCAGCCGCGGUAAUACGGAGGGGGCUAGCGUUAUUCGGAAUUACUGGGCGUAAAGCGCACGUAGGCGGAUUGAGAAGUCAGAGGUGAAAUCCCAGAGCUCAACUUUGGAACUGCCUUUGAAACUCUCAGUCUUGAGGUCGAGAGAGGUGAGUGGAAUUCCGAGUGUAGAGGUGAAAUUCGUAGAUAUUCGGAGGAACACCAGUGGCGAA
rnacentral:rRNA from 1 species